rnacentral:rRNA from 1 species
CGGAGGGUGCGAGCGUUGUCCGGAUUUAUUGGGUUUAAAGGGUGCGUAGGCGGCCUUAUAAGUCCGGGUGAAAGCCCGUUGCUCAACAACGGAACUGCCCUGGAUACUGUGAGGCUUGAGUACAGACGAGGUUGGCGGAAUGGACCGAGUAGCGGUGAAAUGCAUAGAUACGGUCCAGAACCCCGAUUGCGAAGGCAGCUGACUAGGCUGUUACUGACGCUGAGGCACGACAGCGUGGGGAGCGAACAGGAUU